UAGGGAAUCUUCGGCAAUGGGGGGAACCCUGACCGAUCAACGCCGCGUGAGUGAAGAAGGUUUUCGGAUCGUAAAGCUCUGUUGUUAAGGAAGAACGAGUGUGAGAAUGGAAAGUUCAUACUGUGACGGUACUUAACCAGAAAGGGACGGCUAACUACGUGCCAGCAGCCGCGGUAAUACGUAGGUGGCAAGCGUUGUCCGGAUUUAUUGGGCGUAAAGCGAGCGCAGGCGGUCAAUUAAGUCUGAUGUGAAAGCCCCCGGCUCAACCGGGGAGGGUCAUUGGAAACUGGUUGACUUGAGUGCAGAAGAGGAGAGUGGAAUUCCAUGUGUAGCGGUGAAAUGCGUAGAUAUAUGGAGGAACACCAGUGGCGAAGGCGACUCUCUGGUCUGUAACUGACGCUGAGGCUCGAAAGCGUGGGUAGCAAACAGG
rnacentral:rRNA from 1 species